CGGCACUGCCGGCAUCUCGCAUUCGUAAACAAACUACUGCAGCGUUCAGAUCAUUAUUUCGACACCCUAAAACGUUAUUCAUUAAACGUGUAUAUUAUACAUUGACAGUAUAUUAUUAAUACGGUGAUACAAUGUAGAAACGGCGACGCAGUGCGGAGCGCGAGCAUUUACCAGCGCCCUUGUGGCUUGGUGCUUGAACAAUCCGUACUCAAUCAACAACUGUACCAGCUGUGGCGUUAGGUUUUCAUUUUUAAUCUGAUGAUUAUUCAAUAUCACCAUUGAACUGGAUGAAUUUCUAGAGUUCAUAAAAUUUCACUCGAGAUGUAGCUCCAUCUCGUACCCCCAAUGAAAAAGCCAAUGUCAUAACAAUAAAGGAGAAGAGGACACUAAUAGCCCGUGAUUAAAAAGACCGAAGUCCAAUCGAGCCGAAUUAUUCAACUGUUUAAACCGGGGCCGUUGGCUCUCUGGGCCCUUGAAAAAAAAAUCCCCUGUCGGGUUAGCCCGAGAGGUGCCCAAUACUUACCUUUCUGGUCGCUGUAAUCGUGAGAACCCCAUCGGAGGAGAGGCUCGACGUGACUCCCAGUGGGUCGUGUGUCGCAGGUAGCAAAUAACGCCUGACAAAGUGACGGCUUAUAAAACCGUGCUCAUCCUUCUUCUCUUCGUGUUUGGCCUCGACGAUAACAUUAUCAUCGACUGUCUUCACACGUAUUUCGUCCGGUGAAAAUUGCUGUACAUCGAGUAUCACCUGAUUGAGAGAAAUUAAUCAUCGGGUCAUUUUAUCAUCGCACAAGACAACUGGAGAACCAGGGAAAUUAAACACUGAGUAGAAAAGUCUAAAAUGUAAUUACGAAGUACACCAACUUCUGGGAAUAUUUCGUUGAUAUCAAUACCGAAGUAGAGUUGAUGAUGAUUUACUUGUGCGGAGUAUACGCUGAAAGGAGGAAGGGCAUAUCGCCAUGUUACUUCAUUGAAAAUUACAAUUUUAUCAAGGACAGGGAUAUGAGGGCCUCGCGCAUGCUGAGCGAUUACUAUCGCUUAAGAACUGAGAAUUGAAGGAAUUAUUUUUCAUUAUUUUCCUUUCUGAAUGACCACUCCUAAUUUUAAUUGAUUCCGUAUGUAGGUAAUCACUCAGUAAUGUGUAUGUGAGAGCGGUGAAAUUAUAAGAGAGAGAGAGAGAAAAAGAGAGAGAGAGAGCUGUUGACACCUUCGGUUGCGUCGUUUAUUGGCCGUCGGGGUUGUAACGCAUUUAUUUUUCUAUAUAUUGUAUUUAACAAGCCGAGAUUGAAGAGAAGGAAUAUUUAUCGUUGAAAAAAUAAGGCCGAGGCCCCAGGGGGGGGGGUGCCGGGCGCUCCGAGGCCCCUGGACACGGCCCGAGAUACCGUGUGGCUUGACAAUAUUUUGUAAAAGGGAAAAACAUUUUAAAACAUUACUUUGAUUUUUUUUUAUCGAAGACUGAAUUGAUAAUGAGAAGCACCUUUUUUUAUAAAAUAGUCAAACACUGAAUUAAAAAAAAAACCGAUAGUGAGAGUAUUAAUUGUGAAAAUAGCAGGUACAACUGUGAUUUUGGUAAACAGACGAUUUUACAUUUCCCCUGAGGCACUUGAGAUCUUUUCGAAAUUAUUGUACAUUUUGAAGAAAGUAUUUGAAAAAAAAAUUCGUAAUUGUUGGUACAAUUUAAUAUUUUGAGAAAGUCACAGCGCCCCCCUGACUGAGGGGGGUCAGCUCCACUGAAAUGCAACAGUGUUUUUCGUGAAUGACAGAAUAGAGACAUCCAUCUCAUGAAUCAUCUGACAAUGUACCGAUCGCGAUCAUAAAUAUACUGUAUCAUAGAAUGUCACGCGCUUCUGAUUGUUCAAUCAAUUGUAAAAUAGUACAGAGAUUCGUCGAUUUUUUUUUCACAUCAAAACUUUCGAUGCGAGCAUAAGAAAGAUCGAGUCAUUAAUUAUUUUUUUUUAUUGUGAAAAAUUCUGUUUACGAAUGCCAAAUCAUUUGAUUCGCAUCAUCAUCGAUCUAGAGGAUUGAAUUGUUCCAUCAAAUUCAUAAUCGAGUGUUUUGGAAGAUUGAAAUUACUUGUAAGUCAUCUUUCUCGUAUUAUCACGUAGUUAUAUAUCAACGCUCAAGGAAAAUAAAGUAUUGCUGAGUUACAGGUGUAUGCAAUAGAUUUAAAAAUCAUCGAGGAGUUGGAGUUACUGAGGCGUUUUAUCCAGUUACCUUGACGAGUAAAUAAUUAACAACAGAAAGGAAAAUUUUCGAGUAAUAAAUCGGUACAUUAAUCUGAAACGUACUUAGUAGAUAAACUAGAUCAUUCCAUCCACUAGACGACGAGCCAAAGAGUCAAGGCUCGAGGCAAACAUCAACAAAUUACGUUUAAUUAGAACUGAGUAAAAGUAAAGCUCAUCAGGUGCUCCGAUUCUGAGGGAAUAACUGUCUGAGGGGAAACUCGUGUCGUGGAAGUACGAUUCAGUACGCCCAGUCGUACUUUAGUACUUCCACGACACGAUUUUUAUUUAAAAAAAAAUCAAAAUUGAGGGUUAAUGAAUUCUGAAGGAGUUGUUCACUAUUAAUCAAUGUUUUUUGGAAAUCGCGAGUAUUUGAUGAUUUUUUCUUAUUAGUUAACAUCUUUCAAAGGUCGGGAGUUCUAUUAUAGUGAUUUGCAAGGUAUACUAUUAGAUUUUAAGUAAUUGGUUUGCGUGUUGUGUCUCGUGUGGCAUCUCCACAGUAUCUUUCCCUUUCUUUUGCUAAAGUAAUUUGACAGUUUUGAUCAUCUCUUUUUUUUACAUCGUUGCUAUUCCAUUUUAUCUGGGUUUCUGAUAUCUUUUAUUGAUUGCAUUAUUGAUUCAAAAAUUAUUGGAAUUUGAUUAAUUUUGUUUGACUUCGGACAAUGCUCGGCUUUUCAGUCGCUCAGUUUCAAUUGGGGGAUUGAAAAGUCAUGUGUUGUCCUGAAUUAUUUGAUUGCUUCGAGGCUUUUGUCAAAGUGGUCAAUCUAGCGCCUUAGGCGAUUCAACGUACUUUUACUGGGAGUAAAGCUCUAUCGAUAUCUUCCAUUCGUAACAAAAAAUUAAGAGAGGGAAAAAGAGACGAUUGAAUAACUAAUAUUGCGAUCUUCCAUACGCUAGCAUUCUCGUAUUUCUUUUAAAUCGUGCCUUAUUUAAUCCAAAAACUAAUUCAAUAGUAGUGAUUGUUUAAGACAUUAAACCGUCGUCGAUUCCUGCUUCUCCUCGAGUUUUCAUCUGUUGAGAACUCGGGGAGAAACAGGAAUCGCCUUUCGCGAUUUGACAACAUGAAAAUACCGUAAAUCUUCCAGCACUUGAAAUUCCAGUCAUAAAAAUUUGAAUUUAAAACUGAAAAGAAUUUAAUUUGAAUGAAUUUUUAAAAUUACAUCGACAUUGGCCAGUAUAAAAUCAGGAGGUCUUUAUUCGCAACCAGAGACACAAUUUUUCCUGAUAAUAAGACUCUAAUUAGGAAACAUAAUAAAAAAAUGUGCAUUGAUAGAAUGACUUAAUUAUUCUAAAGGAGAUUUGUUAAUUAUUAACAAAGCGCGGAGUUCAGUUGAAAGAUUAAAGUGGAGUCAAGCAGAGCUCCUCGAAUAUGCAUUUGUCAAUUACCAACGAAUGAAUAUUUGGUGAGACUGAAUAAUGCCAUAAUCUCCAACCAAAUUCCUUCGUUAACAAUAACUAAUACUUUCUAUCAAUGCGGGCAGUCCAUCAGGUGCCAUCUAAUGCCCAUCUAAAUUUGCAUUGUGAAAUCGAGUAAGUAAAAAUUACACAUAAUUACCGCGUAAUCAUUCACUACUUUGAAAAACUUGAAAAAUGAAAAAAAAAAUAUAAAAAAAAUUAAAAAAAUUAAAUAUAGGAGCCCCUUAACCUCCGUGAAUGUCUCCACUUCUAUAAGCUAGGAUUUUUGAUGCUAUCGCGAUAAUAAUCAUAGGUUAAGACAUCUUAUAUCUAUGCCUAACUCAUUAGAUAUAACGAUAGUUGAACGUUGUGAUGAUAAUCUCGAUAAUAUCUUAGGGUAAUCGGGGAACCGAACCACUUGACGUAAUGCUUGUAAGAUCAUCAGAAGAUAUUCAGAAUUGAGAGAAGAAAAAAAUAAAGUAGCAACAAUAAUCAGAACAAUUAACAAAAAGGACCGUGCUAGAGAUAAAAAUGAAAAUAUCCAAUGCUCACCUCAAAUUUGUCUUUGUCACACUGAAUAGUGCUCGCACCACCAGAAUUUUGUCUUGCCAAUGUUCUCCAUGGCCUGUAGUAACCGGGCGUGCUGAACAACGGUCGUGAUCUACCAAGUCCCAAUGAUGAGAAACUCGUUAGUAAAUCGUCACGACUCAGGCCACUACCAAAGUGCUGAUCAAUCAAUCUCGAUGCUGGACGAUCGAAUUCCUCCCACCAGUCGCGAAACAUUAGUGGAACAAUAGACAUUCUGUGAACAUCAAUGAUAACACCACACGAUGAGUCUAAUUAGCAUGUCAAAUAGAUUAAUUACGGCAUUUCAAACCAAGAGAGAGAGAGAGAAAAAAAAAUUGAAAAACCAAAAAAAAAUUGAUAAUGAUGUAGGGUAACAAAAACAAUCGGGAGGCGAUUAAAAUCUAAAUCCUUGCUAUUAUCUCUCCAAUCGCUAUUUGAACACCCCUAGGCUUAAGGAAUAGGUAUUACUGGUGCUGGAAUAAAUUGAGAAUGGAGAUAAGAUUCAAUAAGCAGAUGAAAAUCAAGUACAACGGUUUAAUUGACGAUAGAGAUGGUAUCUUCUCAAAUAUUAUCGUAGAGGUUUGAGGCAGCUCUCCCAAGAGACCCAGCACGUACAGCACUAAGUCCAGAUCAUUUGAGUCCUAUUAGUUUAAGGCAAUUAUAUCAUUGGGUUUACUAGGAUAAUAUAGGAGUUACGGAUAUCGUUAUGAUAAGAAAAAGGUCUGGAGUUGUACCGUUUGGGGAUUUUUUUUUCUUUUUUUUUAUUCGGUGAAAUCAUCAACACCUGUGAGAAGGCAACCGGUACAAUCGCGAAGAAUUAUCGAGAUCGGAUGACAACUCAUAACCGAUCGGGCGACCGCACAAUUAAUAGUUAAAAAUAAUACGUCUAAAAUAGGAUUAAUACUUGAGAUAUGAAUAAGCGAGAUUGAGUAACUAAUUAGUUUGGUAUGAUUUGAAACUCCCACUUUACGUUUCAGUUUGAUUUUUCCAACCUUUGGACGAUUUUGUUUUUACUUUUUGUCAAUUGACUAAGGAUAAAUCGAGAUGGUUGACAUCUCGCGAGACAAUCUAUCGAUUAAUCAAUAAUUACAUUUUCAAUAAUUCAGUUUGCUUUUUGCCAUUAUUUUUCUAUCCGAUUACUGAGACAAAUAUUUUGUAUGGAUAGUAUAGACCAAGGUAGAUGGGAACAAGAAUGCUAAAUUAAUAUAAAUUAAUUAUCUCCGUGAAUUGAUACCCCUAAGCUCCAAUUAUCGAUUUAUUUUUAUCUCAAUUCCUUUGUCGUGCCUGAUAUUGAAUUUUUAAGUAGUUAUUAAUCCCGUGAAAGCUGUGACGAAUUACUGAGAGUAAGAGUUAACGUUAGGAAUCGUUAGAUGUGCGUUGAUAAUAAUGUUUACGAUAUAUCUAAACAAUAAUGGGAAUUCUGGGGGUGAAUGAAAAAUUGUGAGAAAUUACGAGGAAAAAUGAAAACAUAAAAAAUAUCUCAGGUUACAUCGAAUAAGAGGUUACAAGCCACUAGCGAAGCGGUAUAACAUUUUAAGACAAUUUUGACUAAUGGUUAUUGUUCGAUGAAUAUCUCAAAAUCUGCGGCAGAUAGCGAAGUUUUUGUUAGAACCUAUUUUGUAGCUCUUAAUUUUCUCUAAAAAAGAGACAAGUACAAAAAUUUCGAUAUUUUGCUUUGGGCCAGAGAUCUUUAUGGAAAAUCCAGCUGAAAGCCAAGUCGUCUUAAAUCGAUGUACUGUGUCGCUGCGAAAAUAUUUCUAUCGUCCCGUGUGCGCGAAUUCCUUUGAAAUUAAUUUCUUGGAUAUUCAUGAAGGACAUCUCAUCGAGCCAAAUGAGCAACUAAAAAUUGAGAAAUGCAAAAUUCUAAAGUCCGAAUCACAUUCUCGAAAAAAAAUUAUCAAAGAACGUCACGAGGUCGCAUCCUCAUCACACAGAUCAAUAAUCAAUAACACCAGAAAUAACGUGGACAUUCACUGAAACAAAGAACUAGAAAUGAUCGGAGAAUUGGGGUUUCUAGCGUAUCUUCAUUAUAAAAUGAUUGAUGUACCUCAGUUAAGACUAACUAAUCUGUAAGAUAACUAACAUAGGAUGCGGUAAAUUGUGAUAAGUUGAUUAGGCUCAUCGCUACGUACACUCAAAAUCAUUUGAUGAUAAUUGAUUCAAUUUAAAGUACUUCCUCUGCACCGGUGCAACUAAAUCUGGAGUACUGAGAUGAUUCUUUAAAUAGAACUGGACAAUUUGACAUCGCGAUGCCUACGAUGUAAGUCGACGUAGUACUCAUCAAUUUUCAAUGAAUAUCUUGGAAUCUGAGCCAGAUAGACAAAUUUUCGGCACAAUGUUUUUCGUAGAUUAAAUUGAGAAACAUAAUUGAGAUUUUCACGAAAAUUUAGCUGUCUCAAUUAGGUUCAGAGAUAUUUCUCGAAUACUCAGGUAGAAAUCAUGUCGACGCGAAUCACUUCACUGCUACGCUGCGAGAAUAAUUCCAUCUCCUCUCGGGAAAAGUAAAAUUCCUUUGAAAUUAAUUUCCUGGAGAUUUACGACUGGCUAGUGGUCUAGUCAAACGAAGAGUAGUUAAACCGUGACGAAGGCGAAAAAUGGCAAUUUAAGAGGGGCAUCUCUAAAAAAAAUCACCACAAAACAUAACGGGUUCGUGUCCUCACCGCGAAGAUCAAUAAACAAUAACAGCACAAAUAACAUUUUACAUCCACCGGAAGAACGAACCUCCAAACGAUCGAGAGAAGGGUUUCCAGAGUAUCUUAAUUAAUUAUCAAAUAAUGAUUGAUGUACCUCAUUUAAGACUAACUAGUUUGUAAGGUAACUGACAUAGGAUUAAUUGAAUUUUGAUAAGUUGAUUGGACUCAUCGUUACGUACAUUUAAAAUCACUCGAUGAUGAUAUCCCCCACAAGAUACCACAAUGAAAUGUACUUCCUUUUCACCGGUUCAACUGAAUCCGGAGCACUGAGAUGGGGUUCUUUAAAUAGAGCUCUAAACGCUUGGCAUCGCGACGCCUACUGGUGGCACUCAGGAAGUUUCAUCCCACGCAUUAAGCUUUUCGAAAAGCACGAAAUAUUUUGCAAUGCUAUUAAUAAUACAAAUCCCGAUGUAGUUGGAUGAAUCACUAGCAUCAGAAUGCUUGACUAACUGGUUGAGACAAUAUUUUGUUGAUACAUUUGAUGACACAUUUGAUGAUAUCACAGCACUAUGAAUAUGCAACAACACUUUGGUCAGAAUAUUUGUUGAUAGCAUUCAUGAGAUAUUAAGAGGACAGCAUUAUCUUUUGAGAUGUCUAUAUUUGGGGCUUGUGAGGGAGCAAUUGAAACACUCUUGACGUAUUUACACUCGUGCACACAUAACGUGUUACAGAUAUUUGAUGUUUCAUUGUAAUUUAUUGUUGCACGAUAAACACCUGUCUCGAUUUGAAAUUAAUCACAACUAUUUUCCAUUUCAAUGGUAAUUAAUCGAGAUACGUUGCUAGGGUGUGUCGAAUCAUGUCUCAGUAAUGAAAAUUGAGAUUAUUCACUAAAUAAAGAGGAUGGAAACAUGAAAUGUCUAGGGUAUCAUCGAUGUGGAUUACUGUAAUUCAUCCUGUGGUAGCAAUAGCAUGAUAUUAAACAGACACCAUUGAAUACGAUCGUCAACCAGAAUAGAGGAAAAUUACAGAUCUAUCCAGAACAACACAAUGUCCUAAUUGUCUUGAAAUAAUGAAUAUCGGAUUUUAAAUCGCGGCAUUAGUAGAUACUAAGGUUUUACUCUAUUAGGGACUUAAGAAUGCUAGAUUGUGAGCGCUUAUACUGUAAUGAAGUCAACUCAAACUCAAAAUUAAUGGAGAUCUAAUGAUUAAAAUUAAAAUCAUAACAUCUGGAGAACAGAAAACAGUGAGAGGUUUUGAGGCUGAAGGUGGUGUUAAACUGCUACCCAGUGGUUCCCUAACUGAGAACCAUUUUUUUUUCUCCAAUAUUUCAAUGUAAUUGAAAUUGUUGCAUUACGAAGUGAAAAAACACGUCUGGUACUGGAUAAAACGGCUGUUGUCAUUCUCACAGCCAUUAUUUAGAUUUCGUCAUACAUAAGAUUUUUUUUUAGAUCAUAGUUCUCACGGAAAAUUAUCAGAAAUCGUCUGUAACUUGGUAACUACGGUUUGAGCGUUGAAUGUAACUUGAGGUGAAGUAAUUUUACUGAUGAUAAGGUAAAAGUAAAUAGUCGUAAUCAUAGCCAGUGGCGAUUCUGUAAACAUCUCGAUGAUUGUAAUUAAUGAGGAUUCGUUGCGGCGUGCUUUGAUGGUCGUUGUAUAGUCCUCUGGGUUAUAAUUCAGACGAGUUGCAUCUGGUGAUUUAAUAGCUGAUUCUAUAACUAUUUAUCUGGAUACAUUUUUGGUUAAAAUACUGUAACUUCAUACACCAUUUGUAAUUGAGAAAUGAUUUAUAGUGAUCGAGGGAAAAGAGAAUAUCAAUAAAUAUGGAUUUUGAAGGAUCAAUUGUCAA